CUAGAUAAACAUUUAGCUCAGAGCUACAUAUUUAGCUAGAAAGCAAAAAUUUUUCAUAUUUAAACAAUCUAAUGAUUUAGUUAGCUCUGAGCUGGCUAACUGUGGCAUUUCUAAAUGAAUGAAUGUAAAACAUGAGGAAAACAUGGACUCACAUUUGUCCUCUUCUGAAAGGCUAAAUAAUCAGAAUUAUUGGUUGUAAUUUGUGUAACUUUAUGAGCAUUGGCCUCGAAGGACGUCUGUAAUUAUCACCAUCAGUUGGACAAACGGCUCAGAUUUCCUGAUUUCAGCUCCGGUUUAGAUCAGCAGGGAGCAAACCUGAAAAAUCCAAUUAAUGUUUUUCCUGUGAGACGCAGGAACCCGGUUGCCUGAUGGACCCGCGGUUCCCGCUGAAGCUUCAAGCUAACGGUCUGCAGGCAGAACCAGGAGACAUUGACAAGUCUUUUCCUUUUUCCGUCCUCCAUUUUGUUUUAACAAAGUUGUCCCAGACAGAGCGCCACUUCUGCAGACGAUUUUAUUUAGUAAAUAAUUGUUAAAAUGUUCACAGUUCCUCCCUGCAUUGGAUAAACGUUCCUCUAGGUAUUCAAACCAGAAACUGGAAGCAAACUGGUGGAAAAUUAAUAACAUUUCUGCAUAAAAUACGCCACAUUAGCACGUUCCCAAAGUCCUCCACUCUUUAAGAGCUUAUAAUGCCAGCCUGAAUAAAACUUAAGACAAAUAAAACUGUAAAUAUAGAGGAUGAUGGGGCAUAAAAACAAACGCUGUCCAGCCAAUGUACCCAAGACGGACAUAAAAGAAGCUAGCUAGCUUCUAGGGUACGUUAGCAACUAGAUUUUCUGUCCAUUUUUUCUUAUUCAACAAGAAAAAUCUUAAUCCAAUAUGACUCAGCUUUUAUGUGCCUAUAGAUUAUUUAUGUGCCUAUAGAUUAUUUUAAACAGGUUUCCUGGAUGUUAGGUCUAGUCAAAGUAAUAAUCAGCAUCAGAAGCAUCUGACAGUCAUGAAUAAGAUCUGAUCUGAUUGGCUGUUGAGCUGAAAGUCUGAUAAAAACAAACAUCUUUUCCAGAAAUCCAGAAAGCCUUAAAUUAUUUCAGGAUCAGUUGUAAAUUUUAGGGAGGAAUGAUAAAUCCUCACCAACAUCGGUAUCGACCGAUAUUAGUCAUUAUUUAACAUAUCGAUAUCUGUCCGAUAAAUAAAAUUGGGCCAAUAAUAACAGCCCAUAUUUAUUUAUCCUGUUGCCUCCCCCAAAGGUGGUGAAAUAUAUAUAAUAUUGGUAAAUAUUGGUAAUCAGAAAGAUUAAUAUCGGCCCAAAUUUUCAUAUCAGUGCAUCCCUAAGAAAUUUUAGUAUCAUUUAAAAUGUGAAAACAGCCUCAGUUAUUGCAGUUAGACACAUAUUUUGAAGCUCAGUUUGUUUAAGAAAAAUCCUAGACUGUUUUUAGUUUGUAGCUUUCUGAUUGGCUGAUCAGUUCGCCUUGGCGUCUCCUCUCCAGGAAGUGCAUCUUUCCCCUCAUACAGGAAGCCUAAAGCUACAUCCUUGGUGCAGAAAGCAGCACAAUCACAGGUCCUUCCUGCAGUGAGUCUUCACAUCCCUGCUGAAUGCCGCAGCGCUCCGGUUUAUUCCCACACUGGAUUCUGAUUUGUCCCACUCAUCAGGAAAACAGGCGGCCGCUUGUUCCAGCCGGACGCCGAUCUCCCACCAUCAUUCCAGCUGCAGGAUGAUCCGAACGCCAGCUGCUCUCCCUGGAAGCCAGAGUAGCUGCAAGGCAUGCUGGGUAAUUCCUUCACAGAUUCGCUCCUCAAGCAGAGAGGAUCCAGCACGAACGCAGGCAGGAGAAAAAGGCACUGAGAUAAACACGAAGGAAUCCACUCAGCUCCAGAUGUGACAGAUAAAACUUCUGCCAAAGCAGAAAACCUGCUGGACGCAAAGAUUCAUUUCAUCAGAACGGAAAGAAACGUCUGAGCGUCAAAAACAAGAGUCUGUUCAACUUUAAUCACUUUAAAAGUUUCAAUCCCUGCAGGAUUUAAAGGCAGACAUCUUCAAAAAAGUAAACCCUAAACCGCCUUUUGUAACGACUUUCAACGUAAAUGCACCGCCAAACACAAACAGGAAGCACUUCCAUAUAUGGAUGAUGACAAAGCAUCCGGAAAUGUUUGACAGUUAUCAGAAAAUAUUUGCUUUUGACUGGAAAAUGACUUUUUUAUGGGAAUGAGUGGAAAAGAUGGAAUGGCAAUUGGAUGACCAGCGGAAGCAGACGACGGGUUUGUCCUCCCAGCGUUGAGUUUACGAUUGUACCAGAAACGUGAAUAAAAAGGUUCCGACCAGAGUGUUUAUACGUAAUAAAAUAAAAGUCAUUAACUGCA